CCUACGGGAGGCAGCAGUGGGGAAUAUUGGGCAAUGGAGGAAACUCUGACCCAGCAACGCCGCGUGAAUGAUGAAGGUCUUCGGAUUGUAAAGUUCUUUUCUAAGGGAAGAAGAAAGUGACGGUACCUUAGGAAUAAGCCUCGGCUAACUACGUGCCAGCAGCCGCGGUAAUACGUAGGCGGCGAGCGUUAUCCGGAAUGACUGGGCGGAAAGGGUGCGUAGGUGGUUUGGAAAGUUAGUAGCGUAACUCCAAGGCUCAACCUUGGAACUACUCCUAAAACUGUUGGACUUGAGUGCAGGAGGGGCAACCGGAAUUCCUAGUGUAGCGGUGGAAUGCGUAGAUAUUAGGAGGAACACCAGUGGCGAAGGCGGGUUGCUGGACUGUAACUGACACUGAGGCACGAAAGCGUGGGGAGCAAACAGGAUUAGAUACCCGGGUAGUC
rnacentral:rRNA from 1 species